rnacentral:rRNA from 1 species
AACGAACGCUGGCGGCAUGCCUAACACAUGCAAGUCGAACGGGCUCUUCGGAGCUAGUGGCGCACGGGUGCGUAACGCGUGGGAACCUGCCCUUAGGUUCGGAAUAACUCCUCGAAAGGGGUGCUAAUACCGGAUAAUGUCUUCGGACCAAAGAUUUAUCGCCUUUGGAUGGGCCCGCGUAGGAUUAGGUAGUUGGUGGGGUAAAGGCCUACCAAGCCGACGAUCCUUAGCUGGUCUUAGAGGAUGAUCAGCCACACUGGGACUGAGACACGGCCCAGACUCCUACGGGAGGCAGCAGUGGGGAAUAUUGGACAAUGGGCGCAAGCCUGAUCCAGCAAUGCCGCGUGAGUGAUGAAGGCCUUAGGGUUGUAAAGCUCUUUUACCUGGGAUGAUAAUGACAGUACCGGGAGAAUAAGCCCCGGCUAACUCCGUGCCAGCAGCCGCAGUAA